UGAGAGAGGCAGAGCCACAGGUGAGAGAGGGAGAGGCAGAGUCGAGCCAACGACCAGUCGCCCUUCGGACCCUCCUGCACAGCGGCGAAUCUCAGGUGGGCAGGAAAAAUCCACCCCACCCAAGGCAGCUCCCAAAACAACUUACAGUCGAGGUGGUUAUUCUGUAACUGUACCAGAUCAGAAGAAGAGGAAUGAAUUACAGAAAAAAGCAGCCUCAGAGUUGGCUUUGUUGGAAAAGCAGAAGCAUAAGAAUAUUGGUCAUGUUUUUAUUACUCCGAGCACUGUUGGUGGUACUUUGACACAAGAGGAAGUGAGGAGAAGACAACAGCAGGAACUCCACAAGACUACUGGAACUAUGGACUAAAUUUAAUGUACAUGGAUCAGUUGAGCCCAAAGAAUGAAAAAGUCCGAACAGUAUCCAUGCAGCCUGAAAUCCAACAAAGAGGACAGUAUUUUUGUGUCUGAAGAAAAUUUAAAUGUAAAGGUGCUUUUUGAGGUAAUCAAAGACGCCAUUUAUUUUCACUACCUUGAGUUUUGUGUAGAUUCCUAUAAGCUUUCAUAGACUGAAGUAUUGUCCUGGUAUACAGUAUUUAUAAACCAUUGAAUAGAUUUUUGUUCCAUGGUCACCGAACAAAGAUGUGUUUUAGCCUCGAAUGAUAUUGUAAUCAAAGCACUGAGCAUUCCUCUAGCAUGAGCUUCAAAUGUAAGAAAGGUGAAAUGGAAUACUCUUACUGCAGCAAAAAGCUCACUAAACUUACUCUCCUGGCAAAUGGAUUAAGCAUAAUUUAAAUUCCCUGUGUUCAGAUUAAUAAACUAUUAAUUUCCUCAACACAACUUUAAGAUUCAAACUCCAAUGACUCACUUGAAGGGUUUUAAGUAUGAACUAAUUGAGGGAAGCUGCUACUAUCGAAUUUUCUGGCAAUAGCCAUGCAAGGCUCAAGAGUCAGAUUUCACAUCACACUGCUGUUUUUAAUCCAAACUUGGAUAAAGGGAAAAGAUACUUCACCGAAUUUCCUUAUAAAUCCUAUUUUACAAAAAUGUGGUGUAUGUGAACUUAAUUUGGCACUUAGUACCACACCGAACAUUUUGUUAGACACUUCCUCAGAACUGGCAAUGAUUAGAAUUCUCCUUUCCUGAUGUUAUAACUGAAGAGCACCACCCUCAUCUCUUGUUAUUUUCAUCGUGUUGUAUGGGGGGGGGGAAAGAUUCUCCACAAGUGUUUGCUCUAACCCAAGAUUAAAUGUUGUAAUAAAAGAAAACUGAGACAGAGAUAUCAAUAUUAUUAGCAUUUGUAUUAUAUAGGAUAAUGAGAAAGUAGGGAAAAAGAAGAAGUUUCUCCAUCAAACCAAAUCUGAAAGGUAGUCAUUUUGGGCAAGAUUGAUCGUACAAAAACUGAUUCUACUUAAAAAGUUUCUCUUUAUAUUUGGUUCAGUAUUGUAUUUUGUAACUUUGUACUGUACAAGAAUGCCACAUUGUAUAUAUCUUACUAUUGUGCACAAAAUGUUAAUAAA